GUGAUGAGUCGCUCCACCGCGGCGCCGCAAGGCGACGAGGAAAGUCCGGGCAACGCAGAGCACCCUGCUUCCUAACGGGAAGGAUGUGCCGUAAGGUGCAGACAGCCAGUGCCACAGAAAACUACCGCCAGACGGUGAAAUGGUGUGUUGGUGAAAUAGUGAGUUGCUGUUCAAUCUGCGCAAGCGGAACGAUAAACUCACCAUUUCACAAUUUCACCACCUCACCUUUGGUAAGGGUGAAAAGGUGCGGUAAGAGCGCACCAGCGGGCGGGUGACCGAUCCGGCUGGGUAAACCUCAGGGGUUGAAAGACCAAAUAAGCGGGCACGCCGGCCUUCGGGCUGGCACCGGGCGGCUCGUCCGGCGUCCGUGGGUAGGUUGAUGGAGCCUUUCCGCGAGGACUGGCCUAGAUAAAUGGUGGAGACGUUGCCUUUCGGGGCAGCGUACAAAACCCGGCUUACAGACUUGUCACCCAC
rnacentral:RNase_P_RNA from 2 species